rnacentral:rRNA from 1 species
UCCCAUAACGAGCGCAACCCCUACCUGCUAGUUGCCAGCGGGUCGAUGCCGGGGACUCUAGCGGAACUAGCCAGCGUAAGGCUGCGAGGAAGGUGGGGAUGACGUCAAAUCAGCACGGCCCUUACGUCCAGGGCUACACACGUGUUACAAUGGCCAGUACAGAGGGCAGCCACCCGCGAGGGGGCGCUAAUCCUAAAAGCUGGUCCCAGUUCGGAUCGGAGUCUGCAACCCGACUCCGUGAAGCUGGAUUCGCUAGUAAUCGCGCAUCAGCCACGGCGCGGUGAAUACGUUCCCGGGCCUU